UAUAAACAAAUAAUGCAUAACAAGCAAGUCAAAUUACUACAUAGCAGUAGGAGAAUACCAACCAAUCACUAUUCUCAAACUAAGACAAGCAAAACAAUAUAUAUUGAAGGAGAAGUGACAGGGACACACCACAAUCAUUGUUACAACAAGAAAACAUAUGGGGAGUUGAGAGAGAUGGGGAUAUUGAUCAGCUAGCGAGUGGCGGUGGCGUAUAAUCCUGGCUGCGCCUGAAGUUGGCCAUUGGAGGAGACCGAGUUACAACAGGAAGAGGCCUUUUAAGAUCAUCACGUUUGACAGCCUGCAAAGACAAUCUUGUAAGCUCCAUUUUAUAGAAAUCAAAAGCAAAAUCCCUGCUGCCAUGGCAAGUUAUUACUGGAGCCAACUCGACAACUCCAGAAACCAAUAUGAUUAUAACUAGAUAAGCACGAGCUUCCAUUUCUUACGCUCUAAUAAUAUUGAUGAAGUGAAGUUUGUUGGUGACACACACACAUAUAUAUAAAGAGGAUACAAAAGAUUUUCGAUCGUUAAAUAUCCAAUAACCGUUUGUGAAGUUAUUUAUGUAUGUCUAGCUAUCUUCUUUCAAAUUUGACGGCCUUCUUCAUAAUUAGGUCUCUUUAUCUCCUUA
rnacentral:lncRNA from 1 species